rnacentral:rRNA from 1 species
UGAAUACGAGACGCUAAGGCGUCGAAGUAGUGUAUGUCAUACUUCCAAGAAAAGCUUGCACUGUCAUAGAUAAAAAACGCCUGUACCAUAACCGACACAGGUGGGUAGGUAGAGUAUACUAAGGGGCGCGAGAUAACUCUCUCUAAGGAACUCGGCAAAAUAACUCCGUAACUUCGGGAGAAGGAGUGCCUUAUUUAUAAGGCUGCAAUAACAAGAUCCAAGCAACUGUUUAUCAAAAACACAGGUCUCCGCUAAGUCGUAAGACGAUGUAUGGGGGCUGACGCCUGCCCAGUGCCAGAAGGUUAAAGAAGUUGGUUAGCUUUUGCGAAGCUGAUAACUGAAGCCCUGGUGAACGGCGGCCGUAACUAUAACGGUCCUAAGGUAGCGAAAUUCCUUGUCGGGUAAGUUCCGACCCGCACGAAAGGCGUAAUGAUUUGGAUACUGUCUCGGAGAGGGGCUCGGUGAAAUAGACUUGUCUGUGAAGAUGCGGACUACCUGCACCAGGACAGAAAGACCCUAUGAAGCUUUACUGUAACUUGAAAUUGAAAUUGGACUUUAUUCGCGCAGCAUAGGUGGGAGGCGUUGAUUAUAAUCUCGUGGGAUUAUUGGAGCCAUCAGUGAGAUACCACUCUUGUAAUGUUAGAUUUCUAACUUUGAAUCAUUAUCUGGUCAAAGAACAGUUUCAGGCGGGCAGUUUGACUGGGGCGGUCGCCUCCUAAACGGUAACGGAGGCGUACAAAGGUUUCCUCAACGGUUAGAAAUCGUAUCUAGAGUGUAAAGGCAUAAGGAAGCUUGACUGUGAGACCUACAAGUCGAGCAGGGACGAAAGUCGGUCUUAGUGAUCUGACGGUACUGAGUGGAAAGGCCGUCACUCAACGGAUAAAAGUUGCUCUAAGGAUAACAGGCUGAUCUCCCCCAAGAGUUCACAUCGACGGGGAGGUUUGGCACCUCGAUGUCGGCUCAUCGCAUCCUGGGGCGGUAGUACGUCCCAAGGGUUGGGCUGUUCGCCCAUGAAAGCGGUACGCGAGCUGGGUUCAGAACGUCGUGAGACAGUUCGGUCCAUAUCCGGUGUAGGCGUUAGAAUAUUGAGAGGAGCCUUCUUUAGUACGAGAGGACCGAGAAGGACAUACCUCUGGUGUACCAGUUAUCGUGCCAACGGUAAACGCUGGGUAGCUAUGUAUGGAGUGGAUAACCGCUGAAAGCAUCUAAGUGGGAAGCCCACCUCAAGAUAAG